GGAAGGAGGGGGAGAGGAAGCGAGAGCGAGAGAGAGGGAGAGAGGACAGCGUUUUAUCAGCCAAGUGCAGCCUGAAUCGUGAGGAGCGGACGAUGGGGGGAAAAAAAUCCCUCUCCUGUUUCCUUUCCUCCAGCAUCACCUUUAUUAAGAUGUAGACCGGUGCGCUUCCAGAAACCCGGAGCCUGCUGGUCACAGGAGAAUCCUUCUUCCAACAGUUCUUAGUAAAAAACCAAACACAUUUUGGAUUUACGGCUCACUUGUUCUGAACUAAAAGGGGGCUCCUUCAUUUCUUUCUAUGCGUUUGGAGGUGUUGGACCGCAUCUGAGCUGAGUUGUUACCUCUGGAAGUGCACCAGUUUGAUUUCCAAACGCUGGAACGUCAGGAUUCUCUCUCCUUAUGGGGCUUUUGGGAGGACUGGACCUUAUCCUAACGGGACGUAACGCGAACAGGAAUAUAGUGUGAAGGAAGAAAUAAAAGCGCAACGAAUGGGAUUCUUCUUUAACGAGCAAUGGAGAGAGGUUGGAGAGGUGUUGAUCUGCGGCAGCAGGGAGGAACCGGGUCGGAGGAGGAACUGAGAAAAGGUGGAGGAGUUCCAGCAGGAGACUGAGGGUGGACAGGCAGCAGCUGGGUGGUACUCGAGGAGGUAUCCAGAGAGGUAUCCAGGGGCGAGGCCUAGAGAAGCAGUGAGGAUCGGGUAGUACAGGUGGGUAUGAGCACCAGAGACUGGUCAGAGCUGGUUCUAUGAGGAAGGAGUAGAUGGGAAAGAAGUUUAAACACUUUAAGCGCAGCAAUGAGAGCUAGAGUGUACCACUGUUGAAGCGGAACCAUUUGGCGUCUGCCUCAGGGAAACUGCUCCUAUUUAAGGCCCUUGCUGAUUGGUGAUGAUGAGCACCAGCUGGAUCCCAUCAGCCUGCCCCCUGUAGAUCCAGAGAAAACACAAAUCCACUCUCCUGCAGAACCCAACAUGUAGAGAGUCCAGAAGAAUUUCAGCAGUGGUGGGCACCUCUGACUAAAAAGUUAGCUAAUAGACAAAUUAUAAGACUAAAGCGCUAUACCAACAUGGUAUUUAGCAGAAGCUAAUGCUAAAGUGCUAAGUUCAACCAUUUUGACACCCAGCUAAGCUGCAGCCUGUAGCUAUACAGCGAUUCAUUUUGGGUACAGAAUAAACAUAAUUUGUUGCAUCCCAUCACAAAUGGGGAACGUGAGUACAGAAAAAUACUGCGUUAACAGUUUUCACUUGAUAGCAUGAAUAUAAACAUCUGACUACUUGAAAAAUUAGCAUGACCUGCACUCUGCCUCUAUCAGGAAGUAGAAUAAACCUCUGACACACAAACAGUUUUAUAAUGGUAGAGAUAGUGAAACUCAGCCUUAUGUCUUGUAUGUUUUACUCUUACAGUAUCUAGAA